UUACGGCCACAUCACGUUGAAUCACCGCUUCCCGUACGAUCACUGAAGUUAAACAACGUUGACAAUGAUCAAUACCUAGAUGGGUGCCUGCUUAGGAAUGCCAAGUGCUGUAAG